CUUUCAUAAUUAAUAAGUCUCUGUAUCUUUUUUUUGUGUGUGAGCUGGUGGCCCAAAGAAAAAUCCGUCUACAUAGUACAAAACAGAGUGUGUCUACAGGUGCACGAAUGGGUUUAUUUUCUGGAAGGAGGAAGGCGGACAGGAACUUCAGACAUCACUUGUGAAAUAGGCGCCGGUCACCUCACCCAACCUCAAGCCUCUCCACAGAGGCCCCGGGACAGAAAAGGCACUCCAGCGAUUGAUGUCAGCGACCCACGGAGGGAAGAGCAGUUCCUGGUCUCCGGAGACAACCCAGGAACUAAUUUCUCUUAAUCAGUUGUAGGGCCUCAGGAGAAGCCACCAGGCAAGAAGGGGAAAUAAAUCUGAAGGAGAACACCAAAUUCUGUGAGGCGCUGGGAAGACCUGUAUUAAAAAAGGGGCACCAUACCUUUAGGACUGAAAUGCUGGCAGGGCCCCAUCCCUAUGCAGCUAUUAAUAUGCAAAAAAUGCCUUCAUAAAUACUUGAUUCUGCUCACA